ACGAACGCUGGCGGCGUGGCUAAGGCAUGCAAGUCGAACGGACAUGUUCCAAGGGCAACUGCGGGACAUGUUAGUGGCGAACUGGUGAGGAAUUACAUGAAUAACGUACCCUGGACUCGGGGAUAGCGGCGGGGGCAACCCCUUUGCGAAAGUGCCGGUAAUACCCGAUGACCCCGUGGGGCCGCAUGGCCCUGCGGGCAAAGGUUUACCGGUCUGGGAUCGGUUCAUGUCCUAUCAGCUAGUUGGUGAGGUAACGGCUCACCAAGGCAUCGACGGGUACCGGGCAUGAGAGUGCGGCCCGGCACAUCGGCACUGAGAUACUGGCCGGACACCUACGGGUGGCUGCAGCAACGAAUAUUCCGCAAUGGACGCAAGUCUGACGGAGCGACGCCGCGUGCAGGAAGAAGUCCCUCGGGAUGUAAACUGCUGUCAGGGGCUGGAAACAUUGAUCGGCCCCAGAGGAAGCACCGGCUAACUCCGU
rnacentral:rRNA from 1 species